rnacentral:rRNA from 1 species
GACGAACGCUGGCGGCGUGCUUAACACAUGCAAGUCGAACGGAAAGGCCCCUUUGGGGGUACUCGAGUGGCGCACGGGGGAGUAACACGUGAGUAACCUUCCCUUGACUUCGGGAUAACUUCAGGAAACUGGGGCUAAUACCGGAUAGGAAUCCUUGCUGCAUGGUGGGGGUUGGAAAGCUUCGGCGGUUUUGGAUGGACUCGCGGCGUAUCAGCUUGUUGGUGGGGUAGUGGCUUACCAAGGCUUCGACGGGUAGCCGGACUGAGAGGGCGACCGGCCACCCUGGGACCUAGGUGCGGCCCCGACUCCUACGGUUGGACGCAGUGCGGAAUAUUGCUCCAUGGGCGGAAGCCGGGUGCAGAAGGGCCGCGGGCUGGAUGACGGCCUUCGGGUUGUAAAACGCUUUCAGCAGGAGCGAAGCUUGUGGUGACGGUACCUGCAGAAGAAGCACCGGCUAACUACGUG